rnacentral:misc_RNA from 1 species
AAGUCGUAACAAGGUUUCCGUAGGUGAACCUGCGGAAGGAUCAUUAACUAAUAUUGCCUUUUCAUGGAGGGGGUGGUCUUCUUUUUUUCCCCUCCUCCAUGUAGGUUUUUUCUGUGCACUGGCUUCCUUAGAGGCAAAAGACUUUUUUUGACUCUGGGUUGUUUUUGUAAUUGUUUAUUAUUCUGUUGUUUUUUUUUUUAAAUUACUUUUUAUAUAAAGUAAAAAGACAACUUUCAGCAAUGGAUCUCUUGGCUCUU